UACGUAGGGUGCGAGCGUUAAUCGGAAUUACUGGGCGUAAAGCGUGCGCAGGCGGUUUCUUAAGUCAGAUGUGAAAGCCCCGGGCUUAACCUGGGAACUGCGUUUGAAACUGGGAGACUUGAGUGUGGCAGAGGGGGGUGGAAUUCCACGUGUAGCAGUGAAAUGCGUAGAUAUGUGGAGGAACACCGAUGGCGAAGGCAGCCGCCUGGGUUACCACUGACGCUCAUGCACGAAAGCGUGGGGAGCAAACAGG
rnacentral:rRNA from 1 species